AAGAAGGACUGUUUUAUGUAAAUGUAAAAUGUGGCCGUUUUCUUUUGAAUAAUAAGUUCAUGUAAACCUUGUUGACCCAUGACUAAAAUGCACUUAUAUAAAAGCAAAGCUGAUAAGAUUUUAUUCGAAACAGUGUGAGUUCGAGUUUGUUGAUUCUCCACAGUAAGUAUAUGCUAGCGUUGUUAAGUCAGUUCUUUUACUUCUUUAUUAAACUUAAUUACUUUAUAGAAUUUUACUUAUUAGUUUAUAUAUCAUCCUCGAUAUUAUAGAUUCUCUCAUAUCAACACGAGACGUAACAGAAAGACAUAGGGUAAAUAUUCAUACAUAGAAAUUAUUUUAAUUGUAAGAGUAUGUAGCUCCUUUAGUCUGAAAUUCCAACUUAAUAUUUCUCAAUUUGUAAAAGUGCAACUCGAUCAUUAAAAGUCCAAAAAUUGUAACUCCUCAACCCUGCAACUCUGUAAUUCUAAAUUUCGAUGUUGCUUACGCAUACAUUCUUCAUGAUAUAUUUGUGGUCAAUACAUGCUCGAAGUUAACAUGAUUAUUUAUACCUUAUUCUCUGUAAUUUGAAAAGUGUUUUGUAAUAAAUAAACAAUUGAUUGACAUAAAUCGUACAACUGGUUAGUAUAUAAACAACGAUUUCAUUUAACUUACCUUCUUGUAAAAAGUGAAAUAUUAAUGUCGAAAAAGUAGAUUUUAUCAUAUUAACAAUUGAUAUAUUUAAUGAGAGUUACCUUAACUUCCUCAUAUUACCUUGAUUGAGGUUUUUGUGUCCUUUUUAUUUAUCUCUCGAAUUUCCAACAUAUACCAACAUAACAAUUUAAAAGUAAGUCACUUAAAGCAUGUAUAAUCUGGUUGGAAAUUUUCAGAAAUAUCACAUACUGUUGUAGAAAACCAAAAGUAUAACUGUCAUGAUUUUUGUACAGAUUUAAUGACCUUUAAGGGCCAUCAGUGUGUAAUACAUUCAUGGAAAACUAUCUUUAACUUUCGAUGUUUGAAUCUAAAGAUAAUUGACACCAAUUGAUAUUGACUUUUCUUGGAACUAACAUGCACUGUAUAUUUAUUGUUUUUUGCUGUCAGACUAACGGGCUGUUAAAAAAUCGGAUACAACUAAAAAUUCGAUCAGGGAUGAAUGAUAAUAAAAAUGAUAAGAAGAAUGCACUAAACUACAAUUGCAUCUCCAGCAAGCAAUUCGUUUUGAACGAUUUAAGCUGUUCUGUUUGUGCCCAUUUCUAUGGUCGAAUAUUUUCAAUGCAUUGUAAUUUCCAACAGUCAGUUUCUAUCGUCAAAUGAUUCGAGAUGAUUGUACUUGAUAGGGUAAUGCAUGGGCACACUUAUUGUUUUGUCGACAUCUAUGACGUUGCAUAUACUAGAAAUCAAUAUUCAUAUAUGUUUUUGUUUUAAUCAAAAUCUAUGACCGCAGAGUCAAUCAACCAUUAGUUACAUUUAAUGAUAAGAUGAGUAUAGAUUAUCAAUUGUUUUGCUUAUUGAUAAUAAAAAAAAAAUCAGACUGAUGUGAGUAGGCUAUGCAGUACUUUGGGCGAAUCUGUUGCCCAAUUUAAACACAAUUCGCCAUGUGUGUCGAUCAAAUUAUUUUUAUAAUUGCCGUGUUAGUAAAGUCUGAUGGUUCAUUAAUAGUAUUUUCUUUGUAUCAAAUAAAGCCUUAUAAAACAAUAACUAUAAAUAUGCUAGAUAUACUGAAUUGAACUGUGAUCAGAUAAUUUAAACUGUAACGUUUCUCAUGGAAAUUAUCUAGGGUACUAGCAGUCAACAAGAACAGUGAUGUUCCGUGGGACUAUGUCUUUUUUAAAACUGGUUCACUAUGCCUGUGUCUUUAUUGACGUUUUAUAUUUUAAUGAACAUGACCUAUUUAUAACGAGUAAAUUAUAAAGAAUGGUAUUUGGUGACCACGAAUAACUCAUAUCUGUUAUUUUUUCCUAGUUAUAAUUGACAUAAAAAUAUAGUUUUCAACAACUUUGAUCAUAUUUAGGUCUGUACUUUUCAACAUAUUUUAAUUUGUUCUUAUGUUGUGCAUGUUUCCCACCGUGUUAUGGCGAAUGGUUGAGCUAUAACAAACAGUAAAACCCCGACAAGUUCAGCAUGUGCAUGUUAUCCCGAAGCCUAUAGUCAAAAAGUGAAUUCACAAAAAUACUGAACUCCGAGGAAAAUUCAAUCGGGAAGUCCUUAAUCACAUGGCCAAUUCAAAGGAAAAACACAUCAAACGAAUGAAUAACAACUGUCAUAUUCUUGACUUGGUACAGGAAUUUCCAAAUGUAGAAAAUGGCGGAUUGAACCUGGUUUUAUAGCGCUAAACCUCUCACUUGUAGGACAGUCGCAUCAAAUUUAAUAAUAUUGAAAAUGAGCGGUUGUCCUUGAUUGUUGUCUGCAAUAAUUUUUUUUAUCAUUAUCUAUUAAGUUUUAUCAUAAAUAAGACCGUUGUUUUUUUCUCUUGCCAAUUGUUUCACAUUUGAUUUAGGCCUGCAUUUGUUAUAGUUUGUAAACAUGAAUGGGGCUUGACCCCUCGUUAAAGUCCGUGCGACAACAUAUAGUUAGUUUCUGAUUGAUAGUCGUGUUGCUGACAAUCAUACGUCAUCGCCUUAUUUUUAUAUAGAUUUUAAAAUACGAAUAAAACUCGAGGUUGGAUUCAGGUGCCUCUGUUAGCUGCAUUCGUAAUGUCAAAAUGUAUACAGAUAAAGAGGAUUUGGAUUGGACUGAGAAAACAGGAACGAAUCAGCGGUAACCAACCAGAGCUUGACGGAGUCCGUAUAAUUUUCGACGAAAAGGCUUUUAAGCUACCUUUUGAAACUAGUGGUUCAAUAGCUUCUGUGUGAGCAGCAAUUUGCUAUCAAAAUGAGACAGACGACACCAAUGGAACAAUCACGAAAGAGUCGAAGAAAAAACGGAAAACCUUGAAAUUAAAAGACAAGCAAUAGUACACAAAGCACUACACAUAAAACUAAAGACUGAACGUCACAAGAACCCUACCAAAAAAUUAGAUGAUAGCCCCCAAUUUGGAAUUUUACUAACUUUUUUGACUGAUGUAAAAAAGAACAAAGUUGAGAAUGGAAACGAGAAAUGUGUCAAAGAGCAGAUGUGGGUAAACCCUGUUACCCAUAUGGUGUAUCUGCCGUGUUGCUCAUGACAAGUCCAAAAAUCGAUUAAAAGUAUCUUUUAGUGAUGACACAGUCGAGGAAAAGAUACCGGUUUUGUAUCUCCAACAUUUGGAUAAUAUCCUAUGAAACGUGCAUGUAUGUUACGUGUAUAAACAUGUGUGUAUACCAUAUAAAUACUAUAUCUAAAAAAAAAACGUGUCGCUGUUUCCUUUCACAUCAGUCAAAUCGCAAUUUACAUUGCAAUCAGUCAAAACUAGAAGACAUGUCGCUGCUUACAUUCCCACCAAUCAAAACUAGAACGAAAUGUCGUUGUUUCCAUUCACAUCAAUCAGUUAAAUCUCUGUUCACUUUCCCAUGUUAGUACGACAUGUUGCUUGUUGCAUGUUAAGACUUUUAUUAGUCAAAAUUAAAAAAAACAACAUUUCGCUGUUUUCAUUUACAUCAGUCAAAUCUCUGUUACGAUUCCCUUUAGACACCAUCAGACUGACAUUUCGCUGUUUAUAUUCACAUCAGUCAAACCAAAACGACAUUUCGCAUUAUUCACACUAGUAAAAUAGCUGUUUACAUUACCGUUUGUCAAAGCUAGAACGACCUGUCUCUGUUUACACUCACAUUAAUCAAAACUAAAACGACAUGUUGAAGUUUCCUUACUUAUUAGUAAAACUACUCUGUACAUUCCCACCAGUCAAACCUUGAACGACAUAUUACUGUUUUCAUUCUCAUCAGUCAAUAUACAGAAAUGUUUAUAUGCAUAGUACGAUCUUUUCUUUUUGAAGUCAUUUCUUUUGUAGAUGUCAUUACUUCUACGGUUGACGCUUCUAUUUGUUAUUUGUUCUGUUAUCUUGGAAAACGCAAACGGGGCAUGUUGUCGUCGUAAACGCAGGGGACGUUGCGGCGACUGCACUAAACCAACACCUUGCUGUGGAUAUAAAAGAUGUAACAUAUUUUGCUGUGGAUGCAAAUGUCGUAAGGGGGGAUGCGGCGGCAGACGAAAACGUCAAUUGUCACAUGAUACUACCGAUAGGUCUACUUAUAUGACGUUUAUUGGCCUAGAUAUCAACAAGUGAGUACAAUCAACAGACACUUAUCGAUAGUUGAAAAAAUGAUUCACAGUUACAUCAAAAGUUAUCACCC
rnacentral:lncRNA from 1 species